GUGCCACGUGUCCCACGUCUCCCAGUGGGAGACGUUGGAUGUCCCCCUGGCCAUUUAAUGAAUUUUGGGUCUUCUUCUUCCUCAUAACACCAAACAGAGAGAGCACACCAAACAGAGAGCACGAAAGGGGUUGCGAUUUUAGGGUUUUCAAGGUUGUGAUUUUGGUGGUGAGAUUUUAGAGAGUACUUUGCAUCAAAACUUCUAUAUCUAUCAAUCACACAUUUGAGAUGGUUAGGUCACUAUUAUAGGGGAAAUGCUGCCCGAUAUUAUUUAGGAUAAUAAACGAUUAGUUGAGAACGGGCAUUACUUGAUUGAACAUGCAAGUCCCAGGCAUUACUUGAGAACGCUAACAAGCACAUCAUAUACAGAGGCACAAAUUGAUAAGUUGCGACAAGAAUGGGCGACAUAUAUGUUGCCGAUAAUCCAAAGUUACCGACCUCGUUGAUAGGUUUUUUUUUAAUUUUUUAACUCUUUCUUCAUACACAAUGCAAUAUUUGUUCAUUUUGAAUAUUUCUAACAAAUAUUGUAUUUCUUGUAUAUAUCUAACAAAUAUAUUUUUUUAUUUCAAUUUAAAUUAAUAUUAUUUCAAUUUAAUUAAUUUAAAUUUAGAUUAAAAUAAUUUCAAUUUAAAUUAAUAUUAUUUCAAUUUAAUUAAUUAUUAAAUUAAUUUCAAUUUAGAUUAAAAUAAUUUCAAUUUAAAUUAAAAUAAUUUCAAUUUAAAUUAAUAUUAUUUCAAUUUAAAUUAAUAUUAUUUCAAUUUAAUUAAUUAUUAAAUCAAAUUAAAAUAAUAUUAAUUAUAAAUUUAUUUAAUUUAUUUUUUUUAAAUGUGGGAGACUUUC